AACGCAAGUUGCGCCCCAAGCCUUCUGGCCGAGGGCACGUCUGCCUGGGUGUCACAAAUCGUCGUUCCCCCUCAUCCUUCAAGGAUUCGGGACGGAAGCUGAUCUCCCGUGUGUUACCGCACGCGGUUGAUCGAAAUCCGAGCCAAGGAUGCCUUAAGCGUCCCGACAUGCGGUGGUGAACUCGUUCAACUCUCCCUAUCGUCGGUCGCUCUUGUCCGGAAGCUCUAGAUGACCCAAAGUCUUCAAUGCGACCCCAGGUCAGGCGGGAUCACCCGCUGAGUUUAA
rnacentral:misc_RNA from 1 species